UACGUAGGGGGGCUAGCGUUGUCCGGAAUCAUUGGGCGUAAAGCGCGUGUAGGCGGCCCGGUAAGUCCGCUGUGAAAGUCGGGGGGCUCAACCCUCGAAUGCCGGUGGAUACUGUCGGGCUAGAGUACGGAAGAGGCGAGUGGAAUUCCUGGUGUAGCGGUGAAAAUGCGCAGAUAUCAGGAGGAACACCAAUUGCGAAGGCAGCUCGCUGGGACGUAACUGACGCUGAGACGCGAAAGCGUGGGGAGCAAACAGGG
rnacentral:rRNA from 1 species